UUUUUUUUUUUUUACUUCUUUCAACAAAUAUUUCAGUAUUUAUUCUAUGUUAAGCACUGCACAAAGGCCCUAAGAAUAUGUUAAAAAACAGAGACAUGCCUUUGCUCUCAUGAAGCUGAUAAUCUAGCAGGGCAAACAGACAUUAAAGAAAUAAAUUAUGAUUGAAUUAAAGUUGUGACAAGUGCCACGAAGAGAAAGUACACUGUGUAAAAUUGCAGGAAGAAUGUGAUCCACUAAUGUAGAGCUUCCCCGAGGAAGAGAGCCAGGCUGAGACAAAAAGGAUGGCCAAGACAUAACCAGGCAAAAGACAGGGCCAGGCAAGAGAACAGAUGUCCAGACACAAAGGAAUGGACCAUAGGAAGGUUGCAAGGUCAGAUCUAUCUUGCACAUGCUGGGUUUCAAUAAAUGGGAGUGGUGGAGGCAGAAUGGUGUCCAAGUAGCAUUAAACAGGUAAGUCUCUAACUGACCCCUAUUCUCAACUAAAUUAAAUUCACAAAACACAAUUCAGAUAUAUUAGUUUGAGUUAGAUCCACAACCUAUCGCAUAAACAGUUAAUAAAACCCAAGUAGGUCUCAAUCCUCCAGACCUCCAAACCUGCAGUUACUGGGGGCUUGGGGUUAUUUUAAUAAUUUGUCCAUGAAGACAGGCUUCCAUAGUAAGACACACUAUCCCUAACCAAAAUCAGAUCUCAUUCCGAUGAAAUAUUUGCUAACCAAAAAGCACUCAGGACAAUGAAGACUCCUCAUUCCAUUUCAUUAAUCAAUUUUUCCAUAAAUAAUGCUGCUAAAUGACUCCUGGAGUUAAAGAGAACACAGAAAUGCUGAUCCAUGUAGGAGAUGGACUGAAACACUCAAAAUAAAUAUACUUUUCUCUUGAUUUCCCAAGGUUAGAGAACAGACCCAGAAACAGAUGCAGCCCAGUGGGGGUUUAAGUAAAGGACUUUCCUCCAAGGCAUUCAAAUUCUGCUCGAUGCCCUCUCUUGCUUAUUAGCAAGCUGCAAGUUCAAGUGUCAAACAGCCACAAAAGGACACAUUUCAAUAAGUCUGAAAUCUAACACAUUUGUAUAGGAAACUAAUUACUUUAGUAGAUCUUCAUUGUAUGUAUGUUAACCUGGGCUGAGAUACUUAUGAUAAAUAGCCUACAUUGUAAUCCUAUUGACAAAAGGCCAUCUUUCCUAUCGAUGCUGUGAAAACCCCUCGUUCACUGCCAUAGUCAAUCUAUACAUAAUAACGUAAUUAAGGUUUGGGAGUAGGUGACACAUGUUUAUUGCACUCAAAAGUUGAAUGCCAACUGUUAGCCAGCCCUGGUAACAGCAUGCUUCCAGCCCCACUCCCCACAGACUUAACACCUGGAUGGAAUUCCCAAAGUCCAGAGGCAUAGAACAAAGUAGAGGUGAUCAAAAUCACAUGUUCUCCUGGAGCAAUGAAGUGUAGGGUUGCGCGUGUGUGCGCGCAUACACACACACACACACACACACACACACACACAAUCUCCAGCUGGUUAUCUGGUCACCCAUGUCAUCACAGCUUCAUCUGUGAUAAUGUGGAGAAAGAGAGUCAAGAAGGAUGGACCAGGAGAAAAUAAGGUAAUGAAAGAGUUGAGUAAGGUUUAAGGUAGCUUUCAUAAACAGCAGGAGACUGGAGGACCCUACAUUUGAGUUUGUUGGCUGGCAAAACAAGUCUUUAGCUGGAAAUUUAAAGUAUUGUAUUCUAGCUUCAACUAAUUAACUCUUUGGCAUUUAGCAAACAUCUUCAAUCAAGUAAUUAGCAAGUAAUUAUUGAGUGGCUACUAUGUGGUCAGUGUUCAGCUAGCUGUGGAGUUGACACACAGGAGAUUAAAGUUCCAAUGCUGCCCUCAAGGAGCUUAACAUUUUAACUCGAGACUAGAAACAAGUAUGUACUAAAACUUCAGUUUUUCAGAACCUGCUGGGAAAAACUCCUUGUUACCAAGUCCUUGCAGAGCUGGAAGCUAAAAUUUUAAGCACAAGAGCUCUUCAUAGCUAAGUGCUUUUAAGAUGGAAAUCUUUCAUAAUUAUAUGAUCUUAGCAUUUCCAAAGAUUUUUUUUAAAAAACCCCACAAACUCUGGUUCUGCUGGAUAUUAAUAAGAUUAUGCCAGGGGCACCUGGGUGGCUCAGUUGCUUAAGCGUCUGCCUUCUGCUCAGGUCAUGAUCCUGGGGUCCUGGGAUGGAGCCCUGAGUCAGCCCUCCCUGCUCAGUGGGGAGUCUGCUUCUCUCUCUGCCUACUCCCCUUCCCUGCUUGUUCUCUCUCUCUCUCUCUCUCUCUCCCUCUCUCAAGUAAAUAACAUUUUUUAAAAAAGAAUUAUGCCCAAAGAGAAAAAUGUUGGAGGGUCUCAAGGUCAAUAAGUUUGGGAAACAAUGGGUUGAAAAAUUUGUGAAUUGUAAGCAUCUAAAGGGAGGAUAUGAUAUACUUCCCCAUGAAAUCAUUUUUCUCCUUGAUUAAGGUUCUGUGCCAUGUACUUUGGAAAGACUAUGCUAUACACUUCCUGUUCUCCUCAAGUAAAUGGUCUCACUGGCUCAGAAUUGUCUUAUCACGGGGCUGAGUCACUGCCAUGGGCCGCUGAUGAGGAAAACUACUGCGCUGAAAAUGCCUGCCCCCCAAGGGCCACCCUUGGCACAACGAGCUAUGUCAUGGUGGCAGCACUGAACACCCCAAUCACACAGCACACCUGACUGUGCCACUGCCGGGGGCUUUCACAGGAGCACAACUAUAACAAUCAACCUGACACCCAGAGGCUGGCUGGGAGGACCUAGAAUGCUCCACCUCCAUAUGCUGCUUCACUGCAAGUUAUCCGCACUCUUGAAAAUCCCACUUCCUUUAAGAAGAUUCCAGACCACCCUGACCUUUCCCUGAUCCACUCUGAGCACAAACAGCCUGCAAGAUGUUCUUGGCACCUACCUGGGCACUGCCUUCCAACACUCCUCGUGGUUCCCUUUAUGACUAUUGUCCUGUUUGGGCAUUUCUUUGUGGAAGGAUUUGUGGGCACAUCUUCAACUAAACAAUGCAUUCCACAAAGGCUGUAUCUCCCUGGGGCACCAAGGAUAUGGGCUUUUAAACUUUUGCUGAUUGACCAAAGAAAAUUUAGAGAAAAAUGCAAGGUAUUGUUCUCAAAAGAGGUCAACCAAACUUGGUCAGCCAGCCCCACACUGGCCUACCUGAGAUAAGGGCUAGGCUGUCUGUCUUAUUUACGGGCACAGUAUGGGAGAGAGGGUGUCCCCCGGCUGUGACAGUGCUGUCAGUAGGAAGGCCAGACUCCAAAGAGACAGAAGAAGCCACAAGCAUAUCUGGAAAACCUUCUGAAGUACAGCUUCUGAGUAUGGAGCCCACAAGACCCCAGCAGGCCCUGACAGGGAAUCAGCCAUCCCCAAAUCCAGUCUGGGAGCUCCCGCUGCCCAAGAGCCAUGCCAUCUGCACCAUCUGGAGACCACCCUGGUCAUGAGGCUCACCGGAGGCAGAAAGGAAAUCUGGUCAAUCAGCAACAUGAACAGCAACACAUCCUGCCUUCUUUCCCACCAAUAACCAAAGAGAGGAUCUGCCUGGAGGAAGUACCCAGAUGCCUGGUGGAGUUUCUCCAGCCUCAUGGGAGGUGGUGCUGCAUGAUAGCUAAGGGCACAGGUGUCUGCAGACAGACAACCCAGGCCUGAAUCAUGGCACCAUGGUGAGGAGCCAUCUCUCCUUGGGCAACUCGGUUGAUAUUCUGAGCUUCAGUCUCUUCAUGUGUGUAAAUUGGAGUGAAAUAAUACCUUUUCCAUUAGAAUGCUGUGAGAGUGUAUGCGAUGAGCGCACACAGGGGUCACCCCAACAUUGGGUACAAAGUAAAUGCUCACUGAACACUUGCUGUUGUUACUAAAGCCCUACCUCCCCUAGCCACACUCAGCUUUGUGCAAGGCUUAGUUCUGCCCAAAUCUCCAGCGCAGGUUGAGGUCCACACAGCCACAUAGGGUGAUCCUACGCCAAUCUAUUGACAUAAUAUAAGCUCAAGAAAUGAGAAGUAUGUUUUGCAUAAUCAGAAUUGGAGAUUUUGCUGUGUUCUACACCAAACUAGAAUAUUCCCCCAAGUCAAAUCACAUGUGUACUUUCUUGCUUCUUUACCUAAUAGCUGUGAGGGCAUGGGCCACUUCCUCAUCUAUAAAGAUGCAGAUGUUCAUAGCACCUACUUUGUUCCAUCACUGAAAAGCUGGAGAUCAGUAGAUCUGAUGGCAGGGCAAACCGUGAGAGGAAGGGAGUUGAGGCAGGGUUGGCAGCAGCAUGUAAAGGGGCACCUCCUUAGAGAGGGAGGGGCCUCAGUAGUCUCCCCACCUCUGAGUGGACACACAACAGGCUGGAAACUCUGCAGCAGAGCAAUCAGCACGUAAUCACACGUCCAUAGGCCCUGAGGGCAUGGAAAGUAAUGGGGCAGAGUGAGUCAGCCCAGGUAGAUUGGGCAGGACAGGGGGAGCCAGUAACUGAUGGGGAUGAGCACAGAGGAGAGAUGAAAACAUCCCUCCACUUGCUAGCUGCAGCCCUGAGGAAUUCAGCUGGAGAGCAGCAGAUGAAGGACCCAGUGCCAUGAAUUCACGGGAGGACAUGACAUCCGGGGGCUAAGCGCAAGCACUGCCAGGAGACCAUGUGCACGUUUGGAGUGGACCUUAGGAAUGGGGCCACCUUGGGAAUGGCUUAGUGUGCCAACUCCCAGAAGCAGAAUUCCUGGUCAGACAGGCAGUGGGGCCCUGUCAUGCAGUCUUCCCUUUGAACAUCCCUAUGAUAUUACCUGGCCAGGAAGAAGGGAGAUCUGCCAGGAAAAAAAGGGGGGCCCAAACCUUAAAAGAAUAUUGUAGGAGACCAUAAUGUAGAAAAACAAAUAUCUCAAGUAUAGGAGAAAUGCUCAGUGCAAAUCAACACUUCACUGAGAUGGCAUGUGUCACUAGCAGGACAAAAAUCCAAAAAGCAACCCAGUCUGCUCACUAGCUGGGAGGAAAGAAGCAUUCACAUACACUGCUGGUGGUGGUGUUAAGUGGGGCAACCCACAAGAGGGACAUGGAAUGUGGCAAUACCUAUUCACAUUACUAACACAUAAACCCUUUGCCCAAGCAAAUCCACUUCUGAAAUUUAGCACACAGAGCUGCAGGAGAGUGAAGUGUCCAAAGCAGCUUUCGUUGUAGCACUGUCACAGCAAAACAUAAAAAAAAAAAAAAAAAAAAAAAAAAAAAAAAAAAAAAA
rnacentral:lncRNA from 1 species